rnacentral:ncRNA from 1 species
GGAAGGGCACCACUAGGAGUGGAGCCUGUAGCUUAAUUUAACUCUACACGGGAGACCUCACCUUGACCAGACACAGACAGGAUUAACAUAUUGAUAGCUCUUUCUUGAAUUCAUGGGUGGUGGUGCAUGGCCAUGCUUAUUUGGUGGAGCGAUUUGUCUGGUUAAUUCCAAUAAGGAAGGAGACUCUGGCAUGGUAACUAGUUAAGUGACCCCGGAGUGGUCAGCAUUCCCAACUUCUUAGAGGGACAAGGGCAUUCAGCCACCUGAGAUUGAGCAAUAACAGGUCUGUGAUGCCCUUAGGUGUCCGAGGCUGCAUGCACACUACACUGACUGGAGAAGAGAGGGGGAACUUGGAUAGGAAUGUAAAAACUAUAUUGCUAAAAAGAGAACAAAGAAGCAGAGAACAAUAAAUAAGUACCAGGGGGCACUUGCUGAGAAUCUUGAAUUUAGAAGCCAACAGAAUUGUUUCUGCCUUGU